rnacentral:rRNA from 1 species
GACGAACGCUGGCGGCGUGCUUAACACAUGCAAGUCGAACGGUGAAGCGCCUUCCUUUUUGGUGGGUGUGGAUGAGUGGCGAACGGGUGAGUAACACGUGAGUAACCUGCCCCCUUCUUCUGGAUAACCGCAUGAAAGUGUGGCUAAUACGGGAUAUUCUGGGUCUGUCGCAUGAUGGGUCUGGGAAAGAUAUUGUUUCGGUGGGGGAUGGGCUCGCGGCCUAUCAGCUUGUUGUGGGGUGAUGGCCUUACAAGGCGGUGACGGGUAGCCGGCCUGAGGGGGUGGACGGUCACACUGGGACUGAGACACGGCCCAGACUCCUACGGGAGGCAGCAGUGGGGAAUAUUGCACAAUGGGCGCAAGCCUGAUGCAGCGACGCCGCGUGAGGGAUGGAGGCCUUCGGGUUGUGAACCUCUUUCGCCAGUGAAGCAGGCCUGCCUCGUUUGUGGGUGGGUUGACGGUAGCUGGAUAAGAAGCGCCGGCUAACUACGUG